rnacentral:rRNA from 1 species
CGGUCGGUAGCGGCGGACGGGUGAGUAACACGUGGGUAAUCUGCCCAACUGACUGGAAUAACGCCUGGAAACGGGUGCUAAUGCCGGAUAGGCAACUGGUAGGCAUCUACCGGUUGGGAAAGGUGCAACUGCACCGCAGAUGGAGGAGCCCGCGGCGCAUUAGCUAGUUGGUGGGGUAACGGCCUACCAAGGCGACGAUGCGUAGCCGACCUGAGAGGGUGGACGGCCACACUGGGACUGAGACACGGCCCAGACUCCUACGGGAGGCAGCAGUAGGGAAUCUUCCGCAAUGGGCGCAAGCCUGACGGAGCAACGCCGCGUGAGCGAAGAAGGCCUUCGGGUUGUAAAGCUCAGUCACUCGGGAAGAGCGGACGAGGGAGUGGAAAGCCCUCGUCGAGACGGUACCGAGAGAGGAAGCCCCGGCUAACUACGUG